UGUAAAAAAAGGACUAGACAAAUACAAUAUGAUUUGAAGUCAGAUGCAUUUGACUUUUUCAUCUGAUUGGUGUAUCUAAUUAUAUGAGAUACACUCUCUCUCCAACCUUUCAUAUUCUAUAUCCUGGUUAUCAAAGGGGGUGGCAGGUGAAUGUCAGUUGACUACACAAAGCCAUUUCCACACGGCCCCUCCGAUCUGCUGCGAAACAUCUCCUGAAACCUCAAAUGACUAAGCCUUCCCAUGGUAGUUCAGGCUUCUGCUCAGCCGCUCCCAGGCUGUGGAAUGUUCUCCCUGAUCACCUGAGCACACCAAAGACUGGGGAUGCUUUUACACGUACGCUAGCGACCCACCCUUUACUGUGCUGGAGCCUUUGGCUGAUUGGGAUACUUGCCCCAACCUGGCCCUUCUCCACUUCCACCGUGGGAAUUUUGAGAGACAAAGAGAUGGGUCAGACCUCGCCUCGUGGUGUGAUAACUUAAAGUCGACAGAGCGCGCAAUAGUCCUUACAACCCAAUAUGAUAAACAUGAUUACAUGACAACACAAGUGACAGCAAAAUGUCACAGGAGCACCCUUUCUGGUAGCUUGUUUAUCGUGCUAAGAAAACAGCCAAUAGAAACAGGAUGUGGUGUUCAUGAAAAUGGGCAUGACGUCUUUCAGUCAUUCAUUCAAAAGCUGGCUUUCUUGUUUGUGUCGGUACAGCGGUCUUGAGGCGACAACAGGAGUGAAGACCUACCUCUUCGGUCUGUCUCCCUUGCAGGUUGAAAUGGGACACCAUCUUAGGUUUAUUUUUCUUGUUUGUCUUGGACUCACAGUUGGAUGGACACAUCAAAUCAAUUACCUUUCCUAAAGCCGGAACUCAGCGUGAACAACACAGCCAUGUUGGCUAGCUGCACGACCCGGGGUGGGUUCCCCCAGCCGGAGCUCACGUGGAACCAUACAUUCCAGAACACCUCCAACAACAGAAUUAUGAAACGUUCUGAGGCUGGAAACACCAUUCGAACAGUCGAACAGAACGGGACCUACCUCGUGGAAAGUGCGGUCACAGUAACAGGAAGUCUGUCGGUAACCUGCCGUGUCACCAACCCCACUUCAAAGCAGAUCGUGUCCAACACCAUUAAUUUCAAUGAGGCACAUGGCACAUCCAAAACCUGGAUUAUUGUUGGAGGUGUUAUUGUCCUAGUUGUUAUUGUGGGAGUCAUCAUGGCUUGUAAAUAUCGCUACAUGAUUUCUCCAUGUACCAAUACGGGUCAUGAUGGUAGAGCCGCUGGUGGUGUUAAUGGUGUAGAUGGGGGUGGUGGUCAGCCGGUCGAGAACCUGAAUCUGAUGGAGAUUACGCCGCUACGGAGGCGAGGCAACGGUGACAUUCCAGACUGAGGUCAACUUUACCUGGGAAAGUGACAACCACGCCUGACGACAGUGGGCAUUUUCAACAGCACUACGCACAACAGAUUAUGCGUUAUUAUGGUCCAUUGGUGGAAAUAGCUGUCACUUUUACUGUUACUGUACUGUAGGCUACAAUAUACAUUUACAGAAGUCAAUAGCCUAGGCUAGUUUCUAGUCCAGCAUGCCUUAUACUUAACGUUUAAGGUUCAGUUGAGGCUGAAAACACUGGUAGGCUGUUUCCUUUCACACAUUGUUUUAGUCUUGCUUAGAUGUCAACAAACAAUGUAGACUAACUGUAAAAUGCGUAGUCGUGAGGAAAUUUGUAUAUUAUAGCUAUUUUAUAUUUUAUUUUAUUCGAAAUCUUUUACAUAUUUUAGCCGUUUAGUAUUAGUUAUACUUUGUACCUUUAGUAUUAGUUAGACGUGUACACACUUAUUUAAGAUUCUUAUAUGUUUAGUAUGCACCUGCCUGACAAAGUAAAUUCCUUGUCAGUGUGAACUUUCAUGGCGAAUACAACCCAUUCUGAUUCUGAAAUUGUUUUCUCUCACUAAAUGUGCCACGUAGGAUGUUUGUACUGUGGUGCUCAAUGUGUAAUGAAUGGAAAUAGUUAUAACAUGUUAGUACGAAGUAGUCUGUUUAACUACUCAUAUAAAAGAGUGGGCUAUGACUUUAUUAUUAUAUUUGUAGCCUACAUUAUACAAUGUACUGUAUUUUGCCAUUACAUGUUAUGUGCUGUUUUGAUUUAAUUUAUCAAUUUGGUGGUCAGAGGGCGCCAUCUGCUGGAUUUGUCUGGCAUCACGUCUAGCUCGCUGUCAUGACAUCACACAACACGGUCCCGGUGAUUAGUUAGCCUGACGUUGUCAUACUCAAUUCUGGUCAGAAUAUGAGUCUGAGAACUCUCCGUUGGGCUUUGACUACAG